rnacentral:rRNA from 1 species
AUUGAACGCUGGCGGCAGGCCUAACACAUGCAAGUCGAGCGGAUGAAGGGAGCUUGCUCCUGGAUUCAGCGGCGGACGGGUGAGUAAUGCCUAGGAAUCUGCCUGGUAGUGGGGGAUAACGUCCGGAAACGGGCGCUAAUACCGCAUACGUCCUGAGGGAGAAAGUGGGGGAUCUUCGGACCUCACGCUAUCAGAUGAGCCUAGGUCGGAUUAGCUAGUUGGUGGGGUAAAGGCCUACCAAGGCGACGAUCCGUAACUGGUCUGAGAGGAUGAUCAGUCACACUGGAACUGAGACACGGUCCAGACUCCUAAGGGAGGCAGCAGUGGGGAAUAUUGGACAAUGGGCGAAAGCCUGAUCCAGCAAUGCCGCGUGUGUGAAGAAGGUCUUCGGAUUGUAAAGCACUUUAAGUUGGGAGGAAGGGCAGUAAGUUAAUACCUUGCUGUUUUGACGUUACCAACAGAAUAAGCACCGGCUAACUUCGUG